UGAUAAGCCGGAGGAAGGUGGGGAANAANUCAAGUCCUCAUGGCCCUUACGCGCUGGGCNACACACGUGNUACAAUGGCGGUGACAACGGGCAGCAAACUCGCAAGAGUGAGCAAAUCCCAAAAAGCCGUCUCAGUUCGGAUUGUUNUCUGCAACUCGAGAGCAUGAAGGCGGAAUCGCUAGUAAUCGCGGAUCAGCACGCCGCGGUGAAUACGUUCCCAGGCCUUGUGCACACCGCCCGUCACACCAUGGGAGUUGGUUU
rnacentral:rRNA from 1 species